GGGUGUUUGUGCUGGUUGUAAUUAUAGUACGUGUUCAAGGAGGGAACAGCCAAUCAGUGAUAAAAUUUCAUACCACCAAGCAUUACAUUCAAAACAGCAGCGAGCGACGAACACGCCUCAUUUUUCUGUUGCCUAAGAUGCUCGGUGUCUGCCACUGGCUGUGGCAGGCUGCACGUGAGGAGUUUCCGUCACUGAUGCGCUGACGAUGAGGGCCCCCAGCAGAUCGGUAUGGCUCACGCUGUCGCUGUUGCCUCAGACCAGCACCGAGAUUGCGUGGCUGCUGAGCGCUCUGCAAAAGUUGAAGAGGAGCAAUUGCAGGAAACAGAAAAGAACCUGGCUUCAAAGGCUGGAUGCCGUUAUCAGCUGGAGGAUCUUGGUGUCCUGGAAGCGCGCCAUCUGAGUCAGAUUCAUCCCAAAGGAAUACAAUUCACACAUUCUGAGACCAUUUGAGCUUUUGUCAUUAAGGGGUAAAAGGGGACAUUUACUUCAAAGUGGCUUUAUCCGAAUGCAGAAGUGGAGACGCUCACGCCCUGUGGGAUCUGCAACCUGCCAGCAGCGUCAGCCCGGGUAACACACAGCACUCACGGAGCACCUGGGCACUGUUUGUACGGUUAAAUACAGAGAAGACACAGCAGGGCCCCGUGCUUUAGACAGAAUGAGGAGUCAACCGAAAGGCCAUCUGACUUCAAAGCAUGAGAUACAAGGUAUCCCCUCAAUAGAUCUCUUGAUGUGUCUCC